GAUGAACGCUGGCGGCGUGCCUAAUACAUGCAAGUCGAGCGAACAGACGAGGAGCUUGCUCCUCUGACGUUAGCGGCGGACGGGUGAGUAACACGUGGAUAACCUACCUAUAAGACUGGGAUAACUUCGGGAAACCGGAGCUAAUACCGGAUAAUAUAUUGAACCGCAUGGUUCAAUAGUGAAAGACGGUUUUGCUGUCACUUAUAGAUGGAUCCGCGCCGCAUUAGCUAGUUGGUAAGGUAACGGCUUACCAAGGCAACGAUGCGUAGCCGACCUGAGAGGGUGAUCGGCCACCCUGGAACUGAGAAACGGUCCAGACUCCUACGGGAGGCAGCAGUAGGGACUCUUCCGCAAUGGGCGAAAGCCUGACGGAGCAACGCCGCGUGAGUGAUGAAGGUCUUAGGAUCGUAAAACUCUGUUAUUAGGGAAGAACAAAUGUGUAAGUAACUAUGCACGUCUUGACGGUACCUAAUCAGAAAGCCACGGCUAACUACGUG
rnacentral:rRNA from 1 species